CGACUCCUACGGGAGGCAGCAGUGAGGAAUAUUGGUCAAUGGACGAGAGUCUGAACCAGCCACGUAGCGUGAAGGAUGACUGCCCUAUGGGUUGUAAACUUCUUUUAUAUGGGAAUAAAGUUUUCCACGUGUGGAAUUUUGUAUGUACCAUAUGAAUAAGGAUCGGCUAACUCCGUGCCAGCAGCCGCGGUAAUACGGAGGAUCCGAGCGUUAUCCGGAUUUAUUGGGUUUAAAGGGAGCGUAGGCGGAUUAUUAAGUCAGUUGUGAAAGUUUGCGGCUCAACCGUAAAAUUGCAGUUGAUACUG
rnacentral:rRNA from 1 species